CACGUAUUGAUGUGGUACUUUAAGCUUUUUGCUCAAUGGAAGCGUGUUAUGCUUGGUUGUGCUAUAUUUUGCAAGCACCCGAUAAAGGGAAUUCUUAGCCUUCACAAAGCGAGACGUCCUGCUUGCAAUCUAUUCGCCGUAGCGUCAAAGUUCUGCUUUUCAGGCUGAACAACGUUUUCAUUCGGCUUUCUUGAGGUUGUUGCCACCCGUCAGAAGCAACGGUACCACAGGAGGACAACCAGAAUGCCCACCUGUCACAAAUUCAGCACUUCUUCAAGUAGCCGAUAUCGUCUACCAAAAGACGCUGAUGGCAGGAGCAGACAAAGAAUUUUCCAAUAGAACAGGAUACGUGGAGCUGGACGCGUAUGAAAUGGCUGUCAACGUCCUCACUCGAUUCUGUCUAUUUUCGUAUACGUCUGCUGGGCCUUCGUAGGCUCAACGAGUUCAACUUCCUCCUUCGAGUGGGCCUUCUGUAUGACUUUUCGUGGUACUACAUGACGUGCUCUGAUCAAAAUGAACAUGUCUGCCGUCAUUAUCGACGGACAUAAAAAGACACAGAGAUCCGAACAGCUACGUUAAACGGUUCUCGAAAGGACUCUACCUUCCAACACUAACAGGGAUAUUUUUUAGAAACCGCAAUUGCAA